CAGGAAUACUAUAACUAAACGCAUACCUGCAAGCAACGCUAGCCAGCUUAUAUGACGCCGAAAGCACCUCACACGUAGCUUCUUCCAACGGCAGACAACAAGAUCGAGGCAGGAGCGAACCAGAGAUCAAUCUUCAUAUAGUUCGAUCUGCUAGCUAGACGUAUAUCGAGGCAGCAAGGAGAUCAGACCAGCCAUGCAGUUCCGCCUGGCGUCGUCGCGGCGGAGGGCGGCGCCGCCGGGUGCGCAGGCGACGAGCGGCGGCCGGAGGAAGAGGAUGGCGGUGGUGAGGCUCGGUGGCGGCGGUGAUGGCAGAGGGAGGAAGAGGAGGCUCUUCGGCGUGCUGCGGCUACGGCUGCGGCUGAGGUGGCCGUGGCUCGCGGCGGCGUACCGGCGCGCGCUGCGGCGGCUGAGGGCCAGCUACGAGCACGCCCUGCGCGAGCUCGUCGAGGGCACCGCGCUCGUGGGCGCGCUUCACAAGCCCGCCGGCGUCGACUGCGCCCAAGCCGCUUCCUUCGGGCCCAUGGCCACCGUUGGGUUCUGAUGAACUCCGAUGGACCUGUGGUGAUCGUGCGCGGCGUUGAAUCUUGAACCGCUGUGGUACUUGCUUUUUAUAUGUGGACAAAUAUGUGGUGCAGGUAUUUGUUGAGGCCACCUUGUGUACGAAUGUGCAUGUACAUAAACACGUUUAACUACGUUUGAAUUUGUGAAUUUAAUUUUCUUCAUUUCUCGGAUUCAUGACUAUAUCUUUCCUCUCCCUUUCGAUGAACACUUUCCCUCUUAAUUGUACUAACGUAAAACAGCUGAUGAGGGUGUUCAUUUUCAACUUUCUUUCUCUAGCUUUUGUGUGGCUCGUUUUUUCUAGAAAGACUGAGACUAGCUUAUUCGAAGUCUCAGCGCAAAAUCUAAACUUCGUGUGUUUUCCCUUUGUUGUUUUGGUUUCUUAUUAUCCCUAAGUCGAAAAUUUUGAAGCCAGUUAAACAACCAAUUCAUAACAAUCAUAUUAACCGAUUGUCCAGUGUUUUUGGCUGCCAGCCUGCCACUACACUUCACUCCUGAAAAUUUGAGGUCCAAUUCUAUUUCCCCAACUCCAAGCUACCAAAUACAUAGCCCCCC
rnacentral:lncRNA from 1 species